AUCUAAUUGAUGAGUCUCAAAUAGGACGAAAUGAACAUCCUAGAU
rnacentral:hammerhead_ribozyme from 1 species